rnacentral:rRNA from 1 species
UACGUAGGGUGCAAGCGUUGUCCGGAAUUAUUGGGCGUAAAGGGCUCGUAGGCGGUCCGUCACGUCGGGAGUGAAAACUUGGGGCUUAACCCCAAGCCUGCUUCCGAUACGGGCGGACUAGAGGUAGGCAGGGGAGAACGGAAUUCCUGGUGUAGCGGUGAAAUGCGCAGAUAUCAGGAGGAACACCGGUGGCGAAGGCGGCUCACUGGCCCGAUAUUGACGCUCAUGUACGAAAGCGUGGGGAGCAAACAGG